CUGUACUUAGGAUUUUUAGAAUGUAAAUAAAUUCAAUUCAAUUCAAAAACAACACUCACAGAUAACUACAUAUUGCAGUGAUGGACACCAAUAUAAAUAGUAUAUAUGAUGAAUUAUUUAAACACGCACGAGCAAUAUUUUACUUCAUCAUCUGAAUGUAUUUUGUAACUUAAAAACUUUUAAUUUUUACGCUGUUUUAUUUUCUUACAGACGCCUUAUGUACACCUCUAGACACAUAUUAAUAUGAAACUUUUAUCCAAAUAUGAAUAUAUUUACAAGAAUUGUAUUAAUUCUAAUGAAAUGCUGAAUAUAUUAACUAUGUGUAAAGUCUAAUUACUAAUUAAGUUACUAAGUAACAUUACUAAUAUGUGAAUACAUACUAUAAAACGCAAUUCACUACUCUGAGAACAGUUGUUAAUGUUGAUGGCUUUAUAAGCUGAAACAUGUAGCACACCACCAUACCAUUAAAAUGAAUAAAUUCAUUAUAUGCAGUAAAUGUGACUGAGAUUUUGAUAGGUGGUGUGUUGAGAUGGAAAAGAAAACAGUAAAGAAACUCUUUGAAGAUUACUGAAUAUAAACUGAGUGCUUUAAUUUUUCUCUGUGCUUUUGCUCAAAACAUUUUUGCUUCAAGUAGUGUGCAGUGUAUAUGUGAAUCCCUGUGGUGGUCUUCAAGGGUUCUGCUGGCCCUCCCUGGCUGCCAAGCUGUGAAACUGACAGGAUGGGCCUUACAACAACAUACAGAGUGGUUACCACAACAAGAUCUGGGUUACAAUCCAGCUCCAGAGCACUAGAAGGGGUACCAUCUUCUGAGGGGUAACACUUCAUAAACCUGUGGAAGUUUGCUGAGGUUUUGGAGGAUCAUACAGCUUCUACAACUAAAACAAAGUUUGUCAGUAUUCUUUGUCUAAGGUAUCUUUGAUGGCAUAUUAUCAGAUAAUGACAUAGAUCUUUAUAUUAUCAUUAGAACACUACUAAAUUUUAUUUUAUACCUACAGUGGGACAUUGGCAGGCACUCCUUAGGGGCCAAAGCUGAGCCCCUCAAAAAUGUAAUGCCUCAGUGUUCAAAAUUCAUGGAAAGCCUUGUCUCAUGGGCCGUAGCUUUAUCUAACUCUUCCAUCAUAGUUACAUCCACUUGCUUAUGGUCCUUGAUAGGUAUUUUUACCUUUCCCUCUCAAGACUCUUCUGUUGUACCUGGGUUGGGAGACUGGGGCCUAUCAGGUGUUCAUAGAAUUCAGUGUGUAUUCAUGUCUCCCCAACAUCCCUGAACAUCCAUUAUUCUCCCUCCCACCGCAUAUACCUGGCUACAUCGUUAGAAAAGCAUGUGUUAACAUUUUAGGUUUCUUGCAUUUUUCAUUUAUACGAGAUUAAAUAUGAUUAUGUGAAGUGUGUUAUUUUGAGUGACAAGCCUGUAAUGUGAAUACAGUAGAAAGUUUAUUAGGAAUCCUGUGUUAGAUGCUUCUUUACACUCUUUGAUGCGGGCAGUAUUGCCUGCGUCAGAUGUACAUGGUGCCAUUAUCUUCAGGUCCUGAAGAUGGAGGAAGUAUGUACCUCCAAAAUGUAGGAAACACUGCCAAUAUCCACCCACUGCAAAGACCCAAGGACAGAAUCAAAAUCAUAUUACACUGAUGGAUGAAGAGUAGUUGACGAGGAAGCGUAUGAGUGAUUCGGUUACAUAUCAAUCUUUUUUGCCAUGCCUAAAGAAAGAUGUGAGGAAUGAUAUUGGUCAAAAUUGGUAGGUGGUUGAACAGUGUAUUUUUAGGCUUGUACAAAUCCCUGCUGAAACACCUGAAGUAAAAAAGUGGAAAUCUGUCCUUCUGCCUGCAUGAUCGACCCAUGGGCAGUAUAGGGCACAUUUGAGCCUAGCAGGGUUCAAAUCCUCAUUCGACCUAAGGGAAGACUGUAUUCCCAUCAAGAGAAAUAAAUAUUUAGUCACAGGUUACAGAGCGAGAGAACCCUUUAGUUUAAAAUGCCUGUAUCAACACCGGAUAAGCCUAAGUUGCUGUAAGAAGAUGCCUAUGUAACCUGAAAAUAAACACUUGAAAUAUUAACACAUAAACAAAAAUAUAAUUUCCCCCUUAUUUCAUUAAAUAUAGGCAUGGGAAAGGAGAUAAAUUUUGCUUGGUGUUGGCUGCCCCACUUGUUCAGAUGUUUAUGAGCCACAACUGUGGUGGGAACCAAAGUCACCAUACUGAACAUUAUGUUAAAAAAACAGGGAUUUUCUUCUGUAAGACUGCCUACUCAAGGCACAUCCAACAUUCAGAGAUGUUUUUAACCAACAAAUGUAAAUGACUACUGUAAAUUUUUGCUCACCAUCUCUUAAAAGCAAUUUGACUCUGUAUUUUUUUUCUUUUCAGAACCUACUCUCUCAUGAACAGAUAAAUUUCAUUCUACACAGAACUUGUGCCCUUUCACCUUGUCAAUAGUUUUGGUAGUUACUCCAUGACAGACACCUCACUAACUCCCAUACUCUGUUGCUUAAGCAGCAGAUACACUGGGUCAGAGAUGAAGACCAAAACUUUAAUGUGCAGCGUGGUCAGGGCUGUCACACAGCUUGGGGUGAGGUUUGGAGGGGGGGGGGGUCAGUGAGAUAUUAGCAUGGAGUGAUUUUUAAAUGACGAUGGGUAACUGGCAACAGAAGGAACCAGGAGAAAAACAUACUCUUUACUGUCAGGUUCAAUUAGAAUGUUCAUAAGCAAUAAUUUUAUUUCGACAAUUGAGAGCAUUUUAUGUCUACUAAGUCUUAAUUUUGUCUACUACUAUUUUGUAAAAUUACACGUGAAUAUAUUUCUUUGUGAAGUUCUGGAUGAAGCUGUCCUGUUAAGACAGCACACAUGAAGUAUGUGUAACAAAGGCAUAGUGAAUCUUUAAGCUACCAUAGGUAAAUUGGUGGAAAAUAUGUUAUGAGUGCUUAGCAUAGAUGCGAGCAGACGCUCUGUACUUAGUUCUAAAACGCUUUUUUUUUAAUCUGUUGCCUUAAGACGCUGUAACUCUCAUUCCUUACCAUAAAUGUGUGCUUUUCAUUCCCCCAGGCUUAUCUACUGACCUGGAGGAUCUACGUAGUGCUGAGAAACCAUUUCCAUUCCUAAUGCUUGAUUUCUGUCAAGGAAACAGUUUCUGUAGCCUAAUUAGGCGCCAUUUUAUAGCAUAUUGAAUGUUUUCAACAUAUUUCAACAAGCCCUGUAGUGAACAUUGGUUUGAGAUAACUAAGGAAAUGUUGCAGUAGGUUACUAGGCUUUCAUAUUGGAGUUGUACCACGUAAGAACAUGUGGUUGAGGAACUGAUGGAAAUGAAAGGUAAUACCAGGGGAAGAUAUGAUUUUACUUCUCUUCAGCGUACUGAUGUAUUGCUCCGUUAGUUGGGGCAAGGGGGAGGGAAGUGUUUCUGCAGAAAAUCUGAUGCUACAUAAAAUCUGAACCACACCAUAAAAAGAAGCAAACCUCUUGAGAUUAAAGUGGUAAUUGAUUUUUUAAAUGUUGCAGAGGGCUUUUAUAUUAUUCUUGUUUUAAAUAUAUUUUGUGACCCUUUACAUGCUACAAUUCAUAAUUUGUAUGCAGCAAACUUAAGAUCAUCGAGUCACAUUCACAUCCAAA